rnacentral:rRNA from 1 species
UACGUAGGGUGCAAGCGUUAAUCGGAAUUACUGGGCGUAAAGCGUGCGCAGGCGGUUGUGCAAGACAGGUGUGAAAUCCCCGGGCUUAACCUGGGAACUGCACUUGUGACUGCACGGCUGGAGUACGGCAGAGGGGAUGGAAUUCCGGCGUGUAGCAGUGAAAUGCGUAGAUAUGCGGAGGAACACCGAUGGCGAAGGCAGUCCCCUGGGCCUGUACUGACGCUCAUGCACGAAAGCGUGGGGAGCAACAGG